rnacentral:tRNA from 1 species
GCCCCCGUAGCCCAAUCGGCAGAGGCAGGCGACUUAAACUCGCUCAAGUGUGAGUUCGAAUCUCACCGGGGGUA